rnacentral:siRNA from 1 species
UCUCAGCUACCUUAUUUUAUUU